rnacentral:lncRNA from 1 species
GGAAGGAGGGCUGAGGAGUGCGCUUCGGGAAAUGUUUCUUCUUCCCGGGGGCGAAGGGCUGUGAAAGUUCAACAAUUUUUAUGAAUUUCUAAUCCAACCUCAUCAUCCUAUGGGAAACAGAAGACCACCAAGAACAGCCAGCUGAGACAGAAUUUCACUGUGUUGCCCAAGCCAAUCUUAAACUCCUGGUCUCAAGCGAUCCUCCUGCCUUGGCCUCCCACUGUGCCUGGCCUAUGGACUCUGAAUUUUUUUAAAAGACUGGAAAAAACUUUUAUAAGAGAAUUGGAAAUUUGGACAAUGGAAUCUCAUUCUGUCACCAGGCUGAAGUGCAGUGACGUGAUCUUGGCUCACUGCAACCUCCACCUCCUGGGUUCAAGCGAUUCUCCUGCCUCAGCCUCCUGAGUAGCUGGGAUUACAGGUAUCUUGGCAGUAACCUCCUCCAUAUAUUUCCUUGGCCCUCAGCUUACAUCUAGCAAAAUGACUCUACUGGUUCCAGGCUUCACAUGCAUACAACAUGGUGUUGGAGGAACAGAGAUGUUUUCUCUUCCUGGUGUUUUCCCAGACAUUUCUUAGCUGGCAUUUCAAACAAGGGUCCUGAAAUUCACCCUGGUUGGGUCGUGUUCUCCCCUUCCCAUUCCCCAUCCCCACCCUCAACCGAAAAAUGAUGUAAGCAGGGGAAAUUGAAUGUACCAAUGUUUGUUUUUAAACAAGCCACAGACCCCUCCCCAACUCCCCGACUGAAGCUUGAAGUGGGAUCAGCUUUCCCUAAAGUACUUGAGCUUAUGGUAAAGCAUAUAUGUUAUCCAAGUUAAAGUCUGGACGCUGUUAGUAAUGGGAAGGCAAGUAAUGAAUGUUAGCUAUGGAGCCAACAGACAGUGUCCACUCCAUUGUCUUUAAGGCCCAACUAAAGAUAACCUCUUUACCAAUGUCGGUUUAUUUAUUCAUUUAUUUAUUCAUUGAGAUGGAGUCUCACUCUCUCACCCAAGCUGGAGUGCAGUGGAAUGAUCUCAGCUGACUGCAAUUUCUGCCUCCCAGGUUCAAGCAAUCUCCUGCUUCAGCCUCCCAAGUAGCUGGGAUUACAGGCGCACACCACCAUGCCCGGCUAAUUUUUGUAUUUUUAGUAGAGAUAGGGUUUCACCAUGUUGGCCAAGCUGGUCUCGGACACCUGACCUCAAGUGAUCUGCCUGCCUCGGCCCCCAAAGGUGUGAGCCACUGCACCUGGCUACAAUGUCAGUUUCUAUAAAAACUGCCUUGACUUGUUUUGUUUGCUUGUUUUGUUUGUUUGUGUUUUAAUUUUUAUUAUUUUUUUUUAGAGACAGGGUCUCAAUCUGUUGUCUAGGCUUGAGUGCAGUGGUGCAAUCAUAGCUCACUGAAGUGUUGGACUCCCAGGCUCAAGCAGUCCUCCCACCUCAGCCUCCCAAGUAGCUGAGACUACAGGCAUGCACCACCCUGUCUGGCUAAUUUUUUAUUUUUAGUAGAGAUGAGGUCUCACUAUGUUGCCCAAGGUGGCCUCAAACUCCUGGCCUCAAGUACUCCUGUGGCCUUAGCCUCCCAAAGCUCUGGGAUUGCAGGUAUGAGCCGCCAUGCCUGGCCUACUGUAUAUUUUAUGCAUUUGAUAUAAGUCUUGCCUCCCUAAGUAUAUUACAAGUCCCUUGAAGUUAAAGACAUUAGAUUCCUACUCAGUGCUGAGCUGCAACAGAGAGCACUCAAUGAUGGAUAAAAUAGUUUUAGCAUGCAUUCAGCGAUAUAUAUUUAGAAAGUGGAACUAGGUGGUUGAAAAAAGUGUAUAGAUGGGUGGAAGGGAAUAUUACAGCUCUUAGAAUUGUCCUAAGGUGAGAGUAACAAAUUAAGCAAUGAGUCCCUGGGUUCACUCAAGCAACUUCACUCUCUAAAACAAGAGCCCACAGAAUCCCAUUUCUGCUUUCAGAAUGAGUUUGAGGCCAAUAUUAUUUCCAUUUUUUUUCUUUUUCUUUCUUUCUUUUUUUUUUUUUUUUUUUUGAGACGGAGUUUCACUCUUGUUGCCCAGGCUGUUUUGAUCUCGGCUCACUGCAACCUCUGCCCCUGGGUUCAAGCGAUUCUCCUGUCUCAACCUCCCAAGCUGGGAUUACAAGCAUGCGCUACCACACCUGGCUAAUUUUGUAUUUUUAAUAGAGACGGGGUUUCUCUGUGUUGGUCAGGCUGGUCUCAAACUCCCAACCUCAGGUGAUCUGCCCACCUUGGCCCAGCCUCCAAUAUGAUUUUCUAAUAGCUGUGUUUGAUGAUUAUAUUUAUUCCUCCAUCAGUAGCUUUUUUAGCCUUGAAAAUAUCUAUUUAAGUUUCUUAUUUCCUUUGGAUCUAUCAAAGUGUUUUUCCCCAAGUGGCACCUGGGAAAACAUAUUCUAUUCAUUUAUUUUAUAACUGUUCCCUUGACCUCUUUAUUGCUUCCCUAUUACAACCCAAGAUGCUCUUGUAAACCUGACUUAAUAUUGGCAGUCUUCAUCCCUUGCAAAUGGAAGUGAUGACAGACCCAAUACUUUGUGUAAAAAUAUUUUGCUAUUUCUAUACAAAAUAUUUUAUUAAUGGAAACCACAUGUUAUGUAUUUUACAUAUGUUAUGACUUGAAAUUUAUGUUAUGACUUGAAAUUGGGGAAUCUGAUAUGUCUCUAAUAAUAAAGGCUUCACAGUA